UGAGGAAUAUUGGGCAAUGCCCGAAAGGGUGACCCAGCAACGCCGCGUGGAGGAUGAAGGUCGUAAGAUUGUAAACUCCUGUUAGAGGGGAAGAAUAACUAAGUUUGGAGCUUAGUAUGACUGUACCCUCAGAGAAAGCCCCGGCUAACUACGUGCCAGCAGCCGCGGUAAUACGUAGGGGGCAAGCGUUGUCCGGAUUUACUGGGUGUAAAGGGCGCGCAGGCGGAAUGGAAAGUCAGUGGUGAAAUCCUACAGCUUAACUGUAGAACUGCCUUUGAUACUUUCAUUCUUGAGUUCGGGAGAGAGAGACGGAAUUCCAGGUGUAGUGGUGAAAUACGUAGAUAUCUGGAAGAACACCAGUUGCGAAGGCGGUCUAUUGGUCCGAUACUGACGCUGAGGCGCGAAAGCGUGGGGAGCAAACA
rnacentral:rRNA from 1 species